GACACCCUGGAGCGCACGUGACGGUUGCCGUCGCAGGCCUCACAAGCAUCAGUAAGGGGUUUGAGCGACGAUUCGGUGUGCAGGCCCGGGAUACGCCGGGAAGCCUUAAGGAUCGUCCGAUUACCUCACCGUAGCGCCACAGGUUCUGCGGGAGGGUAUCCGCACGGCUCCUCCGGGGUUACC
rnacentral:other from 1 species